AACCUAGCACACCUGCGGUGUGUACCUGCGGAGGGAUCAUUACCAAUCAUGUCUCCCAGCCGCAAGGUUGGUGCAGGCGCUCAACCCUCUGUGAACCAAAAAACCUUUCGCUUCGGCAGCAGCUCGGUUGGCAACAACCUCCGCGUCAGCCUGCCGGUGGCACAAACCGUAAAAACUUGCAGUCAAGAACACUGUCUGAUUACCAAAUUUUCGAAUGAAAAUCAAAACUUUCAACAAUGG
rnacentral:misc_RNA from 1 species